rnacentral:lncRNA from 1 species
CCUUCAGUUUGCUGAGUACGUAACCUUUGGUAACAGUACAUUCAGGAAAGUGACAGAAAACGAUUUAGCCAAACACGCCGCUUCCAGAUAGCUGCCUACAUCCUAGAUGUCAAACAAUACAUCAAUCAGCAUUGUGCUCUUAAGCUGUUAUUUAAUUUCCAAGGGAUCUGGGAAGAGUGUUUCUUCCCAGAACCUGAUUUUUGCUUUAUUUAAAUAAUAAAUAAUGCGGCUGCAGGGGAAGAGGUAGGAAGGGAAGUGGCGUCGUUCAUUUAUUUUUGCAAAGGCAAAACCAUAACAUUUGAACACAUCCAAAGCAGUUCAUUUCAAACGGCUCCAAACUUUCCAUUGUGCACGUACCCAAAGAGCUGAUUAUGUUCUGGUUUCACAAUAGCAUUUCCAUGACAACUGAUAUAUGCAUUGUUUUCUAAAAGGGCAGAAGGGUACAAAUAAUCUCAAAAUGAAAUGGUUUCUCCUCUGGAGGUUACCAAAGCUGAUUUUUCUCCAAAUGGGUGCAGAUGCACACUGGUCUGACCACAUCAGCACUGUGACAGGACAUGCAGGACCAUUGCUGCCAAGGAGGAGGCACAGUGGUAUGCUGCGUAGUGCCUUUGGGGCCAUGCCAAGGAGGAGGCACAGUGGGAUGCUGCAUAGGGCCUUCAGAUGAACCCACAUACAGGACUAAAAACUCUUCUCAGACUCAUCCUAAAGCAUCCAUGUCCCUACUGGAGAUUUCAACUGCAAUCUCUGCCAUACGGAGAAACUCCCCUCUAACAUAGAAAGCAGAAAAGAUUCAGCCAGAGCCAAGUGGCGUUUCAUGGCUAAAUUAAGGCAGAACUGCUCUGAAAUAGUUGGAUGAAAGCACCAAAUAAGAGUAACAACCCUUCUGCCCAUCAGUGCUGUUGCAGUGUUUUCCCCGUGUCAGAGAGAUGCUGAAGUUCAGCUUAGGCAAAUUUCCCACCGCCGUGCAGCAGUUUUCAUGCAAAGGUUAAUAACUCCCUGUACGUUCUGUGAGCUCAGCACUUCCCCUGAAUCUCAGCUUGAUGUACUGCCCUUUUCUCCAGGAGCACGUUGCUUCCUCCCUCCCUCCUGCUAAUCAGUUUUAUCAACACAGCCCCAGGUGAAGAAUGGCUUUCAAGAUACGUAGACUGGGAGACAGAAAGUGUUGCUUACACCAAAUGAUAACAGUCAACAGAAUCCUAUUAAUAAGCUACAGAAAUCCAGCUAUGACCCAGAAUCACAGCUGAUGUAAACUGAAAUAGCAAUGACAACUUACACCAAAAAAGAGCCUGGCCUUGUGAGUUUAUAAAUCUCAAUGCUCUUUAAAAACAAAGCAGUAAAUCAUUUUGCCUGAGAAAUGAGAAUAUCAAUUAUAUUGCUCUAUAUCCUUCCCCUCUUCACUAUAACCAUUGAUUUGUGCUUCCCUAUUUCAUCCUAGGAUUUUUGAAGGCAGCUGAAAAUUUAUGGCUUCAUUCUACAGAGAGGAAAGCUGAGGAUCUCAUGAGUUGGGGGUGCUCACCAGGCUGUGGGGGAUAAAGUUCACCUUUCCCUGUUUCCUCUUCCCAUACAAGAUCUACAAGAUCA